rnacentral:rRNA from 1 species
AGCGAACGCUGGCGGCAGGCCUAACACAUGCAAGUCGAACGAACUCUUCGGAGUUAGUGGCGGACGGGUGAGUAACACGUGGGAACGUGCCUUUUGGUUCGGAAUAACUCAGGGAAACUUGUGCUAAUACCGAAUGUGCCCUUCGGGGGAAAGAUUUAUCGCCAUUAGAGCGGCCCGCGUCUGAUUAGCUAGUUGGUGAGGUAACGGCUCACCAAGGCGACGAUCAGUAGCUGGUCUGAGAGGAUGACCAGCCACACUGGGACUGAGACACGGCCCAGACUCCUACGGGAGGCAGCAGUGGGGAAUCUUGCGCAAUGGGCGAAAGCCUGACGCAGCCAUGCCGCGUGAAUGAUGAAGGUCUUAGGAUUGUAAAAUUCUUUCACCCGGGACGAUAAUGACGGUACCCGGAGAAGAAGCCCCGGCUAACUUCGUG